rnacentral:rRNA from 1 species
UAGGGAAUCUUCGGCAAUGGACGAAAGUCUGACCGAGCAACGCCGCGUGAGUGAAGAAGGUUUUCGGAUCGUAAAACUCUGUUGUUAGAGAAGAACAAGGACGUUAGUAACUGAACGUCCCCUGACGGUAUCUAACCAGAAAGCGACGGCUAACUACGUGCCAGCAGCCGCGGUAAUACGUAGGUGGCAAGCGUUGUCCGGAUUUAUUGGGCGUAAAGCGAGCGCAGGCGGUUUCUUAAGUCUGAUGUGAAAGCCCCCGGCUCAACCGGGGAGGGUCAUUGGAAACUGGGAGACUUGAGUGCAGAAGAGGAGAGUGGAAUUCCAUGUGUAGCGGUGAAAUGCGUAGAUAUAUGGAGGAACACCAGUGGCGAAGGCGGCUCUCUGGUCUGUAAAUGACGCUGAGGCUCGAAAGCGUGGGGAGCAAACAGG